GUGGUUCUGGUUUCAAUCCAUACCAAGAUUUUCUAUGUGUACAAAUAAUCUAGAAAAUCUUGUGUGGAUUGAUACCAGGGUCAG
rnacentral:pre_miRNA from 1 species